CCUAAUGUAAGAUGGUGGCCCGUCUAGCUGUGGAACCCACCGAAAGCUGAGAGUCUCUCUCUCUCUCUUAGCCGUAAAGGUCGGACUCACUGAAGCAGUCAGGCCCGGUUCUGAAGAGUUUUUUUCGCCGACUCUGGUUCACUGGUCUCCUGUGAGGACGCGGCAGCGCGUGGAGUCGGCUGAGGGAAAAGCGAGGCAAGACAGGCGGGUCUUCAGAGUUCUACAUUUUAGCUCUCAGUGCUGAAUUUCCUUCUCCCUUAAAUUAUUAUAAACUUUGCUGCUGUCUAACAAGCCUAAAGAUGUCUCGCAGUCCUGAUGCAAAGGAAGACCCUGUGGAAUGCCCUCUUUGUAUGGAGCCCUUAGAGAUAGACGAUAUUAACUUUUUCCCUUGCACCUGUGGCUACCAGAUAUGCCGAUUUUGUUGGCAUAGAAUUCGCACUGAUGAGAAUGGGCUUUGUCCUGCGUGUAGAAAGCCAUAUCCAGAAGACCCAGCAGUUUAUAAACCACUCUCACAGGAAGAAUUGCAAAGGAUAAAGAAUGAGAAAAAACAGAAACAAAAUGAGAGAAAACAAAAAAUUUCAGAAAAUCGAAAACAUUUGGCUAGUGUACGUGUGGUACAAAAAAACCUCGUCUUUGUUGUAGGUCUGUCACAGCGCCUAGCAGACCCAGAAGUUUUAAAACGACCAGAGUAUUUUGGGAAGUUUGGUAAAAUACAUAAAGUUGUCAUCAAUAAUAGCACAUCAUAUGCAGGCUCACAGGGUCCGAGUGCCAGUGCUUAUGUAACCUAUAUCCGGUCAGAAGAUGCUCUCAGAGCAAUACAGUGUGUCAACAAUGUGGUAGUAGACGGCAGGACACUUAAGGCGUCUCUAGGGACAACAAAAUACUGCAGUUACUUCUUAAAGAAUAUGCAGUGCCCAAAGCCUGACUGCAUGUAUCUGCAUGAAUUGGGAGAUGAGGCAGCCAGCUUCACAAAAGAGGAAAUGCAGGCGGGUAAACACCAAGAGUAUGAACAGAAGCUACUGCAAGAAUUAUAUAAAUUAAAUCCCAAUUUUCUUCAGCUAUCUACGGGUUCAGUUGAUAAGAAUAAGAACAAAGUGACACCUUUGCAGAGGUAUGAUACCCCCAUUGACAAACCUUCAGAUUCUCUCAGUAUAGGGAAUGGUGAUAAUUCCCAACAGAUAUCUAACAGUGAUACGCCUUCACCACCACCUGGUUUAUCAAAAUCCAAUCCUGUCAUCCCCAUCAGUUCAUCCAAUCACAGUGCACGAUCUCCUUUUGAAGGGGCAGUAACAGAGUCACAGUCAUUAUUCUCAGACAAUUUUCGCCACCCCAACCCUAUACCAAGUGGGCUUCCUCCUUUUCCCAGCUCUCCACAGACACCCAGUGAUUGGCCUACAGCUCCAGAACCACAGAGCCUCUUCACGUCAGAAACAAUCCCAGUAUCAUCAUCUACAGACUGGCAAGCAGCGUUUGGCUUUGGUUCUUCUAAACAGCCAGAAGAUGACUUGGGGUUUGAUCCCUUUGAUGUCACUCGAAAAGCCUUAGCAGACCUAAUUGAGAAGGAACUGUCUGUCCAAGAUCAACCUUCCCUGUCUCCCACAUCUCUUCAGAACUCCUCCUCACACACUACAACCGCCAAAGGUCCAGGCUCUGGAUUCCUGCAUUCUGCUGCACCUACAAAUGCCAACUCUCUUAAUAGUACCUUUUCAGUCUUGCCACAGAGGUUCCCUCAAUUUCAGCAGCACCGAGCAGUUUAUAAUUCAUUUGGUUUUCCAGGCCAGGCAGCCCGCUAUCCUUGGAUGGCCUUUCCACGCAAUAGCAUCAUGCACUUGAACCACACAGCAAACCCCACCUCAAAUAGUAAUUUCUUGGACUUGAAUCUCCCGCCACAGCACAACACAGGUCUGGGAGGGAUCCCAAUAGCAGGGGAAGAAGAGGUGAAGGUUUCGACCAUGCCACUGUCAGCCUCUUCCCAUUCAUUACAACAAGGACAGCAGCCUACAAGUCUCCACACUACUGUGGCCUGACAACAGAACUGAAAGGAGAGGAUUAGACUCUGGGGUGCUUGCAUGGGCAACUGGAUUUUUGCAUGGUUUCUUUCUGAUUUUGCAUUUAAUGUAUACACCCAAAAGAGCCAAUAUAAACGUUCCUCAUGCCUACAACUAGCGUGUACCUCAUAGUUGCUAAAGUAUUUCUUCAUUAGGCCUUUAACAUAAUUUAAUAGCAUAAUAAUUUUGACAUUGUUUCUCAUGAGUGAUACUAUUUUUAACUCAUACAAAUAAACUUACAGUACUAAUUAAGAUCCCAGAGGAGAUUAGCUAGACCUUAUUCUAUUAUUGGAAAUAAUACAAAAGUAAUGAUAGUUCUUUGUUUUUUGGUUUGUGAAAAAAAAUGGUAAUAUUCUAAUCUACUCCUGAAAUUUUUGAAACAUUAAGAUAAUGUUUAUUGCAUUCUUUGAGUCUUUGAAAAGAAAGAAUACAUACAAAGAAAAUCUGGUGGUGUCUACAAUGCUCAGAAAGAUGUUGUCAGCCAUUGUUUUUAGUUGCCUAGAUUUAUAUCAUAUAUUAUGCAUUACAUGUAUACAAACUGUUUUGUUCUUCUUCAUUUGCACAUUUGCACUUUUCUUUUUGGAUGGUUGUUAAUUCUACAUAGAUGGUUAAAAGGUAAUUAUUAUGGCCUAAAUGCAAUAUAAUCUCUUUUCUCAUGCACUGCCUAGUAUACCAGGAAAUGCCUCAAAAACAGAUUUUCAACUUGUAGUUGACUUAUUAGAAACUUGAACAUGGGGUAAACAUUGUAUGUAAGUAGUAGCCAUAGCAGUGUAACAUUUUUAUUGAGCGCAAACAGUAGUUCUAGGUCUGUUUGGAAAUUUCAUUGUUAAAUAACUGACAUGUGAUGAAAGUACCUGGCCAGAAUAAAGCUUACAGUAGAGGAGAGAAGUUGGGUGUCCUAUAAAAUGAGACCAUAUAAGUUGUAAUAGAUGACCUUAGAUAAUCAAAGAACAAUGGACUGAGUACUUUAUAAAGGCAUAAUGUAAAGUGAUGUUUUUGAUAAUGCAAAGCUUCUUGAAAUAGUCUCAAAAAAUGAUAAUAAAAAAUAAACUGAACUUAGUUCUGUGCAGUGGACAAAAGCUAAUUUAAAAAAUAAUCACCAUAAAUGCCUCUGGGGAGAAAAAGAAAAUCAAGCCUCUUGAGAGUUAAAAAAAAAAAAAGUUUAAAAAGUAUGCCUUAAUUUGUUUUUUAAAAAGAAAAAGUAUUGUGAAUACCAAAAAUAAAUCAAACUAUUAUGUUAAAUCUAAACAUUUAACAUAAUAAUAAUAAAACAUCUUAUUUGAAGAUGUUGCCAAUGUUAUAUAGCAUUGGCAGUUUUGGGGUUACUUUUCAAUAUAAAAUAUGGUGACUUCCUGUUACAUAUAACAAAAUAAAUUACUUCAUCCUGAGGUAUAGUGGAGUAAAGUGAAAAUUUAUUUUUAGUUUUUUUUUAAUUGGUUGAGGUCAUAGAAUUGACCAAUUCUCUACUCAUCUAAUUUGUGUUUUUAAGAGUUCAACAUAAAUAUUAAUUUCUAGCUUGCAUUUAAAAGUAAAUUUAUAGCAACAUUAUAAGAAAGCUGCAACAUUAUAAGAAAGCUACUGGCUUAGAAAAUCCCAGUAUAUUACUUUUAAACAUACCUUAAUUCAAUUAUGACUUUGCUAUGUAUGCUGUGGGGUUGGAAAUCUGGCUCCUGGUAAUGAUGCUUUCUAGAUCUUAGCUUUCUCCAACUUUCAAGUGAGCCUUCCAUUGGCUCUGUUUCCUUACAAGGCCACAGAGAGUGACUGGCUGUCUUCACUCACUUCUUUGUGUUGUGAGGGGUGCUGCUGAGCAGAGCUGCUUUCCUUAGCUUUCUCUGUUCUUUUUCAUUUGAAAUUUGUACAGAAAAUUUGUCCAAAGUUUUCCCAGACUUGCCCAUAAUCCCUGAUAAGUGUCCAAGACUGUCUCCUUCCUGCCUACUCUCUCCCCAUUUUCCUCCGACAUAGCUAUGAAAUCAGGAAAUGCUUCCUGGGCAAUUAAAAUUCAGCAUUAUAGCUUAUGUUAAAAACUUAAAGUUGUUUUCUGUUUUUUUUUUUAAUUUCUAGACCUUAUAAACCCUCACAUUUUUAUUUAAUAUGUAUUUUAGAAGUCUUUAAUAUCAUGAUUUAUACUAAAGCAUGGAAGAAAUUAUAUGGUACAUAAAAGUACCAUUUUAAUAUGGUAAGCAAAUUUAACAAAAUGGUGGAAAGAAUGAGGAGUUCUAAGACUUUCGGGUUUGUCAAUACAUUCUUGUGUGAUGAAUUUUACACUAGAUAGGAUACUAUUAAUUUCACUUCUUUGACCAUUAUAAAGUAAUUAGUCUUUUCCUUAACACAGGGAUUUUUAACCCGGAGUCCCAAACUCUUGGAAGGUAUAUGUGAAAUGGUGGGUUUAUGUGCAUGAACUUACAUUUGUUGUUUUUCUAAAGAAGAUCCAUAGUUACUAGAUUGAUAGAGUUUGGUUACAUUCUCCCUCUCCAAAUGGUUUCAAAUACUAAGAAAUGACUGCCUUCAAAUGCCUUUAUCCUCUGAGGGAAAUAGAGUACUGCUCCAGCUGUCUUUUAGCUCUGGGAUGAGAAGUGCGCUUUUAUUUUCUCAAAGAUUCCAGUAGAAAAAUUUUGAUUAAUAAUGAUUUCAUUCAACAUUUUGUAUUUUUCAGGUGGUACUUUGGCACAUUCUCCCUCAUGUUUCAGCAAAGCGUUAUUUUUGUUCUAUAAAGUGACCUGAGCUAGAUCUUGAGGGAUAAAAGGUUGAAUAAAACAUACAGACACCAAUCUAGUGGAAGAUUUAUUUCACAUUAUUUUUAUUUAUAUCAAAGGUUGACCUUUGAUACUCUUAAUCACAACAGCCAUAACAUUCCAGACUCAUUCUGUUAGUUCAUUAGAUUCAUUCCAUUAACUGCUCUAAGAAUGGCAGAGUGUUAAUACUGAUACCUAAGUUCUAAAAUGUGUACUGAUUUGGAAGGAUUUUAAAAAAAAAUAGAAAAGACAUAUUCAUUGUUCUAUUUUAUAUACUCAUGUUUCAGCGUCCUGCAAAUGUAAUAUACGUUUCUUUGAAUUAAGCAACUUUAAUGCAUUUUUGUCUGUGCAUACUUGUACUGACAUAGUUUAUUUGUAUGGUAUUCCACGUACCUUCAAAACUGACAGAACUUUCUUCUGUUCUGUCACAAGUUCAUAGGGAGGUACAGCCAGACACAAAUUCUGCAAAAAGCCCAGAGAAAGGAAAGAAUUGUAGAAAUAUUUGAAAUCCCACAAAGUUGAGCACUGUUAUGUUUAUGUAAACAUGGGGGUGGGGACUUGUGUUGGUUUGUAAGAUUUUAGAUUUUUUUUUGAUCAUGAAAUUUUCUCAAUUUUGUUUAGUUUUCUUAAAAGAUGAAAAUAUAGUUGCCUUUUUUAAAUGAAAAGAAAUAAUCUCUAUUCUCUGAAAUAGACAAAGUCACAUAUCUGGUGAUAAGCCGGCACACCUGCUGUUAGUGCCAUCUCUCUCCCUUUCUGAAUGGACACUCACUCUGUGCCUCCUUGAACUGGGUAAACAGCUGUAGUGUUUGCAAAUAUUCCCAUAAACCUGUUUAGUGAGUAAGCCAAACACUGUGCCAAAUUUCAAAGUAAAACAACAGGAGCUUGAAAAUGAGCAUCUUUUUGAGCUGAUGAAGAAGGUUUUAUAAAAAGUGGGAUGUUGUUACUUUUGAAGAGGACUUACAUUUCAGUGAAAAGGAAAAGUUGGUGCAGUAAAGGGACCAGGAAAUAGACAUAACUGAGGUUUAAGUCCAAAUAGCUAAACCCCGGGAAAUGAGGAAGAGAAGUGUAAUUAACUCAUUAUGGUGGGGGUGUGUGCUGUAGAGUUUGGGCAUGGCAUAGCAACAUGUAGCAUUUUAAGAAGAUUAAAUUGAAGUUAGGACAAAUUAGAAUCCAGUUUCAGGAUGCCAUUGUUGGCCAGUGCAAAUUGGACUAGACUAUGUUUGGCUAGGUCUUUAGUGACCUGUUAAAACCCAAAUUGCAUGAAAUGGUCCAAAAUAGGAGCUAUUUUUUUUAAAAAAAAAAUAUAUAUAUUUUCUCAUACAAUGACAUCCCAACUGCAACCUCCCUACCCUUCAGUCCUUGAACCCCACCCUUCCCCAGAUCCACUGUUCCUCCAUUUCCCUUCAGAAAAGAGCAGGCCUCCAAGUAAUAUUAUCUGGACGUGGCAUAACAAGAUGCAGUAAGUAAGAAUAGGCACAUACCCUUGUAUCAAGGCUGGACGAGGAACUCAGUCCAAGAGCAGGCAAAAAGAGUCAUCAGAGACACCCCCACUCCCACUGUUAGAAAUUUCACAAACACUCAAAGCUAAAUAACCAUGGCAUGUAUGCAGAACACGCAGGUUCUGUUAUUGCCACUUCAGUCUCUGUGAGCCUCUAUGGGUCCUGCUUAGUUGAUUCUGUGGGCCAUGUUCUCCUGGUGUCCUUGACAGCUCUGGCUCCUACAAUCCUUCCUCCUCUACCUGUAGUGGAGUUCCACAAGCCCCACCUAAUGCUUGGGUGUGGGUCUCCUCUUAUGACAAGCUAGAUUUUAAAUAAAACCAAACCAAAAAUAUAGGAUUUUUUUGUUGUCAUUCACUGAAUACCACCCUGUUUUUUGGUGUGAAAUCUAAAAAUUAUUGAAUCACCUUCCAUAUCACUCACAACAUAGUCUAAGAGAAAAUACUAUACCAACCUCCUCUUGACUAUAAGAUUAUUAAUUAUUGUUAUUAUUCCAGAUGGACUCAAAGUCAAUAUGUCACUUAGUAUAACCCAGUAUUUCUGAUCCUUCUGCCUCCAUCUUCUGAUUUCUGAGUCCUGGGAUUUAUAGGCAUGUGUCACCAUACCUAGGGUUUCACGCUUUCCCAAUUGAGGGCUACAUCUUCAACUUCUCUCCCCAUCUCCAUUUUCUAAAAGACAGGGUCAUAUGAUGUAUCCCAGGCUGGCUUCAAAUUCACCAUCCUCUCUUUAUCUCGGCCUCUGGAGUGUUGGCUUUACAGGUGUGCCCCAAGCUGAGGAAGAAAAUUUGUGAGAUGAGGUUUCCUUUAGAGAAGGCCAGUCUGAUCUCCAUAGUCAGUUUCAGGACAGUCAGGACUACAUAAUCUUAUAGUCAAGAGGAGGCCAGUAAAGCAUUUCCUGUCAACCUGUGGUGUGAGUGAUGUGGAAGGGGAUUUCACGACAAAGAACAGGGUAGUGUUCAAUGGAUGGCAAAUAGUGAGAUUAUGGUCAGUGUGAUGACCUCAGUGCUAAGUAAUGGAUGAAAAGCAGAGAAAGAAUGGUGGAUUGUAAGAUUGGAAGGACAGCUAGCUUUUGUUACCCCUGUAUGGCCUCUACCCUGUUUUCUUCUUGUCUUUUUGGAGAAUAGGAAGAUGAUCUGAACUGGAGAGAGCUUGGUGUUGCCUGGUUUCCUAUAAUUUGAAACUAUCUAAAGGCAAACUUCUCUGAAAGAAUGGUAGGAGAACGUGAGAGUAGUGAGGAGAGCCUAGAAAAGCCGAGGUUGAGACAGGCAGAUUUGAGGAGUCUCUGGAUGUGCAAAGGCUUGAUUGUAAUGUUGGGAUCAGAAAGAAUUGGGGUGGGUCAAUGCUGGAUAUGGUAAGUCUGUUAAAGAACCAUUGUUAAACCAAAAGAAAAAUAGGAAGUCCCAACAUAGGCUUUCCUCUUGAGAAGGCAAAAUGUUCCACACAACUGGAUAAUGUUAUUCUGCUUAUUGGAGUGGAAUAGAGAAAAUUUAUCAGUCUCACCAUAAAGGACAAAAUAUUCUGCUAAUUUUCCCCAAUGAGAUAUUUUAUGAACAAAUAAAAUCUACAAAUUUGGGGGCUAAUAUACUUUUGGUUCUUAUACUUUGUAUACUUAGGUUGGUAAUCUUACUAAAAGUUAUUGAAGUAUAAUAGAGCAGGAAUGAAGGUGUGCGUGUGUAUGUUUUUUCAUCUGAUUAGUAGCAAAUGUCUCAUUUGGAAGCAGCCUUAGUUUUCUGGCGCAUGAGCAUUUUUUAAGUUAACUAGAUUUGCUUCCAUAUGUGUAGGAUGAGAUGUCAGCUGUGAAACAAUACUCCGUCUGUGAAACCAUGCUGAUUGAGAAGCCACUGUUCUUGGACCUCUUGACUAGUCUGUGAUUUGCUUCUAGGCGAAUUAAUGUUACUACCAUCUAGUUAAAAUAACUUGACAAAAACAACCUAGGAAAAAGGGUUUAUUUUUGCUCAUGGUUCCAAGUUACAGCCCAUCCGUCAUUUGGAGGACUUAGCGUGCUUGUGACAGCUGUCAAUAUUUCAUCAUAGUCAGGAAGCAGAGGGGAAGGAAUGAAUCAUGCAUGUUAUACCCAGCUAUCUUUCUCCAGUUUUACACACCUCAGCAUACAAACUCAGGGAGUGGUGCUACCCACUUUUAGGCUGGGUCUUCCUGCAUCAGUUAAUGCAAUAUAAAUACUCCCCUAUAGAUGUGUCCAUUGGUCAAACUGAUCUAGACAUACCUUCACUGAAAAAAAAAAUCACUCUUCCCUGAGCGAUUCUAAAUUUUCUCAAGUUGAUAAAACUAACCAUUACACCAUGUUACAUUGCUAGUCUGGGGUGGGGAUCCACUCUCUACCUAGAAUUGAGGUAAGCCUAAGCAAUUUAAUCUAUGUGAAGAGUUGGCUAAAGUGCCCUGAGUUUCUGUAAAAUAGCAUAGAAUGUUGACCUUAACAAGCCAGUCCAUUCUUCCUAGCUUCGUCUUGCCCACAAUUCCUAGAAAGUUGUUGAUUUCACUUGUAGCCAUUUCACACUGUUUGGAUUAUCCUAAGGAUCCCAGAAGCUCCAAACCGACUUUAGAACAGUGUUGCCACACCUGCUGUAGUCCUCACAUCCAUCAUUGUGCUGGUAAAUCCAAAAGCAUUACUCCUGAAACUCCUCCCAUCAUAUAAUCUAUAAAACCUUAAAGUACCCAGGCCUUUCUUUGUCAUAGAGUCAAGUUCAUGUAAAGUAGGAUUAACUAUUUAAAUAUGAGUGGGGCACGGGCCUAGUACUGCCCUUUAAUUAUUUCAUUGUUAGUGAGAAUUUUGGCCCUUUAUUGUUGGGGCAGUGUGACAGUGGCUAUAUCCACAUUUACCCAGUAAGCUGAAAGGUAAAUAAAUAUCAAACUUUAAAAUACAUCUCUUCACCGCUUCAACUUAAGCUUUGUUUGACAGUUUUCAUUCCCACCCUGCAAGCCCCCUUCUGCAGCAAAACAAACCCAAAAAGAACAAGGAACCAAAGUUUGGACCCUUGAUUUCUUCUAGGAACACCUUGCUGUCUUCAGGAGGCUUAAUUAGCAUCAUGCAAGAAAGGUUUUACUUAGCCAAGGUGUAAAGUAUAACAUUUGUUCUGUGUGUGUGCCUGUCUGCACUUGUAGGCUGUAUAUAAUUUUCAGGUAAAUCCUCCACCUGAUAAUUAUAGCAGAGAAAAUAGUCUCGUGCUAGUUUUCUGUGACUUCUCGUAUCCUGCUGUUUCAUCUCAUUCAUACAUUUGGGAUUAAUGCUGUCUUAUUAAAAUAUUUUCUGACUAAUUUUGUUUCUCCCAAAUAAACUUUUGUAUUAAAAUCAUUAGUGCAAAAUUUUACUACUAAAUAAGACCAUCUCAUGUUACUCUUUAGAAAAAUCUAUGAAAAAAUAAGAUUUAUAUUACAAAUGAGCACUGACAGAUAGCACAGUCUUUAGCAAUUCUCCUUGUAAGAAUCAAAUAAUAAUCCAAUCUCAGAAGGAUUGUGAGGUGUUUUUUGUUUUGUUUUGUUUUGUUUGUUUUGCUUUGGUAGUCACAUUCAGACAAAAAUUUAGAUCUUUUUCGUCCUGUCUGGUUUUUUGUUUGUGUGUUUUUUUUUUUUAAACACACUACUCACUGGUGAAAAGAACGUUGAGAUUCUGAAUUUUCUUUCAUACAUACAACUCACUGGAACAAAGAACUUAAAGAUUCUGGAUGUGUUUCUUCACUAAAUGUUGUGUCUUACAGUUUAAUUAUUCUAGAGGUUUUCUCAAGGGUUUUUCUGCUCAGAAUCAGUGAAAAUGAAGGCUUUCAAAAUACCCAUGGACCUGCAGUUAUCACAUGGCCUAUAAGCUGUCAAGUCAACUGUGGCCCAGUGAUCCAGGAGGAACUUUAAGAAGAGGGGAGAAGUUUGGCUUUUCAAGUAUUCUUCGUGUAGACUUCAUUAUAUUAUUGUCAAUGUCAGAAUUAAAAGAUUAAAAAGUGGUGAGAUUUAAUGUAUGCACUUAGGACCAACAUGCACUGCUGAUAUCUCUAAUACUGUGAAACAAAUAAUCCAACAACUCUGUAGUGAUGGCUCUAAGGUGUAUUACAACAACACUAAAGGUGUGUUCUCUCUCGAGUUCGAGUUUGAAGAAGAGGUACUCUGUCUACACCUUUUAGACCCUUAGCUGCUUUGCUGGCUUUUUCCAUCAAGGACAUUAUGCUUUAGCAUACUGAAACAGGAAAGACUGGACAAGAACUUAAAGAUGGUAACAUCAGCAUCUCCAAGAGAAGGUCAAGAAAGUUCUCUCCAGUCAACUCUUACAGCCUGCUGCUGUGUAUUUCCUGAUACGGCAAAAUGUAAUUCCAGUGACUCGACUCCAUAUUUACACUGAGCACAAUGGUCUGGAGCUUCACUGGGAUUCCUUCAAACCUCGGCACAUUACAUGUGUUCUUUUGCCAGAAGUCUGACUCCCUGAAGCUGUGUGGUUGGUUUUUUUUUUUUCCUUUUACAUCUAUAAGUUGACAACCCAACUAAAUGAAGGUAAACCAGGCCCUGUGUUAUGAAGUCAUCAGCCAAGUAGGAACAUUUUGUAUUCACCUAAAACUGUUAGGUUGCAUGUUAUUGUUCCAUCUAUGUUUUUUGCUAUUAAAACAAUACAUUUUAUUAAAAUUCAUAAUUGUAGUACUUGUGUAAGGCCCUGUGUUUGAUAUCCAGUUUCCCCUCCCUGUCCCCCACAAAGAAAAACCUACCAUCAUUAUGAAUUAAGGCUCUAUCUACUUUUUUUUAAAGAUUUUAUUUAAUUAUGUAUGUAGUAUUCUGCCUGCAGGCCAGAAGAGGGCACCAGAUCUCAUUAUGGGUGCUUGUGAGUCACCAUGCGGGUGCUGGGAAUUGAACUCCGGACCUCUGGAAGAGCCAUCUCUCCAACCCCUCUGUUUACUUCGUAAUGCCCAUUAAGGAAAGAAUGUCUAUCAGGUUCAUUUCCUUACCCCUUCUAAAUUUGUUUGCUAGUAAACCUUACUGUGAUCUUCACAUGGUCCCAGUCAGUCCUGCUAGAUAUAAACUCUUAAAACCUGGUAUAUUGGUCUUUGUUCUUUUGUUACUGUUUUGUUUUGAGACAGGUUCACACUUUUUAAUCCUGGCUGCUCUGGAGCUUGUUUUGUAGACAAAACUGUCACUGAACUCACAGAGAUCUGCUUGCUUCUGCCUCCUAAGUACAGAGACUAAAGGCGUGAGCCACCUCACCCAAUCUCUCAGUGUAUUUUUAAAUUUACUUAAAUAUAUUGCUAAAAUAAACAUGGGUUUAAAUAAUCCUCAAACAUACAAGUUAUGUUACAACAAUUUCAGAUUUUAAUUUUUGAACAUCUUAUGUGCCACUCUGACAGCUUGUGCUUACAUCUUUACCUUUUUCUUUCUCUGGACAAGGAAUCAUUCUUGAUCCAUGUAAUUUACCACAAUUAGUGGGGAAGUUGGAACCAGAUCUUCUAAAUUUAUUUAUAUUUUAUUUUGAAACAAGGUCUCAUUUAGUCCAGGCUUGUUUUAAAUUCACUUUGUAAUAAGAUGACCCUGAACUUCACCAUCUUCUGAGUGUUGGGUUACAGGCAUGUGCUAACAUGUCUGCUUUUAUGUAGUACUGGGAAUCAAACCCAGGGCCUUAUAUAAGUUAGGCAGGCACUUGUCAGCUGAGCUACAUCCCCAAUCCGAUAACUAGACCUUAAUGUUUACUAUUUGUGUGCUUUUCCUACUGGACCCAAAUGUCCUAGAUUUUUCUCUAUCAGAAGAGAAAAUGGUGUCUAUCAGAAAUGCUAGUAUGUUCUGCUAACUGGAGGCACUCUACUCCUCUGUCCAUUUAUUACCAAAAUGGAUUUGGAUCUUUUAAAUGACCAUAGUCUUUUCUUCCUUUCUCUUUUGAAUUAAAACAACACAUUGAACAGAAGGCAUAGUCUGGGUUUGGGAACUGACUGAAGAGCAACCACUGCAUUGUUAAAUGUUGAACCAACAGAUUUUUGACAUUGGAAGGUUUUGAGAUUCAGUUCAGGCAAGUUUUUAAGACAUUCUUUAAAAAUCAUGUAAUACUUCUAAUUAUUUUCUUUCACUAAAACAUUAGUUCUAAUUCAGUGUGAAGCUCCAGAAUAUCUGAAAUAAGAAUUAAAGUUUCUGACUUAUAUUUAAAAUGUAUUCAUCUAAUCUUCCUCCCCUCUUCCCUUCCUGCCUUCUUUUGCAGUGAGCUUGAAUAUUGACUGAGAAUUGGUUCUGUCAAGACCAUCUCUGGCAAUCUGUUCCAAAUUCAACUAUAAUAAAUCAUAACUAAGGAUGAACACUUACAUAAAUACAUAAUCUUAAGUGAUUUUAAAAUAAAGUCUUUUUAGUGGACUGGUGACAACAACAGUUCUGUAGAGAGUUUAAAUAUGAAGGAAUGGCAGGACGGGCUAAGGGCACUUCUACCCAACAUUAACAUCAACUUUGGUGGACUGCCCAAUUCUUCC